rnacentral:rRNA from 1 species
GACGAACGCUGGCGGCGUGCUUAACACAUGCAAGUCGAACGGAAAGGCCCUGCUUUUGUGGGGUGCUCGAGUGGCGAACGGGGGAGUAACACGCGAGUAACCUGCCCCUGACUUUGGGAUAACUUCUGGAAACUGGGGCGCAUACCGGAUAUGAGCUCCUGCUGCAUGGUGGGGGUUGGAAAGUUUCGGCGGUUUGGGAUGGACUCGCGGCUUAUCAGCUUGUUGGUGGGGUAGUGGCGUACCAAGGCGUGGACGGGUAGCCGGCCUGAGAGGGUGACCGGCCACAUUGGGACUGAGAUACGGCCCAGACUCCUACGGGAGGCAGCAGUGGGGAAUAUUGCACAAUGGGCGGAAGCCUGAUGCAGCAACGCCGCGUGCGGGAUGACGGCCUUCGGGUUGUAAACCGCUUUCGCCUGUGACGAAGCGUGAGUGACGGUAAUGGGUAAAGAAGCACCGGCUAACUACGUG